rnacentral:rRNA from 1 species
AGGACGAACGCUGGCGGCGUGCUUAACACAUGCAAGUCGAGCGGAAAGGCCCUUCGGGGUACUCGAGCGGCGAACGGGUGAGUAACACGUGAGUAAUCUGCCCUUAGCUCUGGGAUAGCUCCGGGAAACCGGGAUUAAUACCAGAUACGACCACUCUAGACAUCUUCUGUGGUGGAAAGAAUUUCGGCUGGGGAUGAACUCGCGGCCUAUCAGCUUGUUGGUGAGGUAACGGCUCACCAAGGCGACGACGGGUAGCCGGCCUGAGAGGGCGACCGGGCCACGACUGGGACUGAGACACGGCCCAGACUCCUACGGGAGGCAGCAGUGGGGAAUAUUGCGCAAUGGGCGAAAGCCUGACGCAGCGACGCCGCGUGGGGGAUGAAGGCCUUCGGGUUGUAAACCCCUUUCGAUCGGGACGAUAAUGACGGUACCGAGAGAAGAAGCCCGGCUAACUUCGUGCCAGCAGCCGC